CACACCUAACUGAAAAGAAAUAACUCAGAAAGAGUAAGCUUUCUGUAUAGCAGCAGUUUCAAACUACAUCUGGGCUAACUUCCUGUGUGGCCCACAUGACAGGUGCUGCAGUCCCAAUAUCACAUCCAGAAAUGAAAAUGAAAGUCAGCCCCAGAAGCCACAGAGCAAACUCCUCACAUUUCAGAGGCCAGAGAGAAGUUCCUAGACAGCCCUGAAUCAAUCAGUUAGGGGAGGAAGGAGAAGGCAGGCCAGAGGGACAAGUCACAUGACUGAAUUAAACUAAUAGGCUUUUAUUCCUGAGCUGGAGAGAGGGCCAUGCAUUUUCACUAAGGUAUGAUUUCUUGAACAACACUGGUGUUCCCUUUGCAUGGAAAAAGGUAGUAAUGAAUGGCUGAUAGACAACAAUAUUUAAAACAGCAAGACUAUCCGAAGACUUAGCUCUACAAUUGGCCUAAUUCCCAAGCUCUAAGGAGGUAAAACGAGAGAGGAAAGUUUCAUAAUAACAUAAUUGUGUUUAUCAGAGGAGGAAUCAAGAUGCCAUUUUACAGACGACCAGUAGCAACAAAUAAUUCACCA
rnacentral:lncRNA from 1 species